ensembl:lncRNA
CUGUAUUUCAUUGAUCCUGAUGAUGAUGCAGACAGAAGGUCUAUCCUGAACAAAUCAUCUACUGCCACAGAUAUUCUCCUUUACAUCCACCCAGUCAUGCACAAAGCAGGUAAUACAGGUGUAAACAGCCAUCUGUGACUGAAGGGAUGAUGAAAGCGGGUUUAAAGGGGUUUAUCCUGAAAGCAUCUGGUCCUGCUGCAGUGUCUGUAAUCAGAUUCACCUGUGAGACGCUCAUGGCCCGCAGAUGACAGGAAGGCCUUACGACUGGAAUGUCGUCUCCUCCAGAGAGGAAAUUAAUUUCUUCUGAUUUUUCGAAAGCGAUGGCCACCGCUUGGUUUGCAGGCCGAGGGUUAGACGGCUGCGACUGAAUCUGGGCUUGGAGAGCUGGAGCUGAAGCUUUCAUUAAGAGUGAUUCUGUAGAGGAGCUGGCGAGAGAAGAAGCCUUUGAAUGCGUCUGCAUCCGUAGCGCUGUGGAGAAAUAUCUUUUUAUCAUCUCUGCGUCUCUAGAGAUAAUCGACUCGUCUCUGAGUGGGUUGAAAAAGUUUUUCCGUCCAGCAGAUUAGCGCCGCAGUUUAAGCUCACAUUCACACAGACUGCCAAACACAUCCGAGAGAGUUUCAGCAAACACAGGAAAUGCCAUCAGAGUCUGUUUGACUCUCUCUCUGGAAAUAAUAAAGAAGGGUGAGCAUCCUUCUAACAAUAGCCGGCGGGCUACGAGUCUGCUAUUAAGAGAGAAACAUCUCUGCAUCUUCUUAAAGCAAACUGACAAAUAUUUAUGCAUCAAAUCCAAACAGUCACUGAGUAAGUUUCAAAAGGUUGUCAGGAUAAUUAAGAUGCACCUCAUUUUGGUUUCAUGCAUCCUUCACAGAGAAGGCAAUUCCAGAAUGCAUUGC